AAAUGAUACUAAACUUUUGCAGCUGGGAAAUAAUAUACAGGUGGCUGCCCCAAACCUUUAUGAUGUCUGAAGUCUCAUCUUUAUUACACUGCCUAUCACUGCAAGGGACUAACCUCGGCCCUGUAAAGGAGGGGUCAACCCACAGUUCCUUGCAGUUCCUUCAAAUGCGCUUGGGAGUUGUUUGCUCCAUGCAUUACAAAGUUGAAGUCAGCAGCAUGAAGCAAAAGUGAAGAGUUAUCUUUGAAUGGGAUUCCAGUUCAUCUCAAGGUUUCUGAACUCUUUUGGGACCCAGUAGCUGUGGCGGCAUAGUUGGCGGGCAGCAAACCAUCAUCCUACACAUGAGCGAUAGCUGUGGCCCCGGUGGCUAUGGACCACGGGUUACCGCUUGCCGCCAGGAACCGCCCGAGGGAUGCUACACUGCGUGAGCAGCAAAAUCACCUCCCCCCCAG